UACGUAGGUGGCAAGCGUUGUCCGGAUUUACUGGGCGUAAAGAGCGCGCAGGCGGUCGUUCAAGUCGCGUGUGAAAGCCCCCCGGCUCAACUGGGGAGGGUCACGCGAUACUGAUCGACUGGAAGGCAGGAGAGGGUAGUGGAAUUCCCGGUGUAGUGGUGAAAUGCGUAGAUAUCGGGAGGAACACCUGUGGCGAAGGCGGCCCCCUGGGCCGGCCCUGACACUGAGACGCGAAGGCGUGGGGAGCGAACGGG
rnacentral:rRNA from 1 species